ensembl:lncRNA
UGUAGUUGAGGUCAGGCUGUCCCUGUUAGAUUUAACCAUGGAGACAUCCCCCCUUGAUGUAUAACCUUCAUUUCCCCCCUCUUUAACCUUAAUUGUUUGUUCUCCUAGCACCUACUUGUUGUAAAACUCAAUCAUAUACAACAAAGAGGUUACUAACACAUAAUCAGUCACGUAGUUGGGAGGUAUAAAACUGGGCCUCUCAGAAACAUCAGGGUCCUUGUUGGGAACUGAUUCCCCUUGGACCCACUGGCAUAAUAAACUGUACUCCACUGUCUUGAGUGUCCUCUGACAUGUGUUUUUGACUUCAGAUUCCACAGCAUUUCUGGUGCAUCGGCCAGGAAGCCGUUGGAGAGACAGGCCCAUUGAGCCUCUGCCUGCCACUCACUGGGAUGAGAGCCUCUGGGAGGAGAAGGUGCCUCCCACUCCAGAUCAGCUUUGUUUUAGUGACUUAUCCUUCCAGGUGGACUUCACAAGACUGUGGGCAACAGAAGGGAAGCGUGCAGGGCCUGUCCCCUUUGCCUCGGGACUCAGGGGCCUCCCGAGCUUUGCUUGGGGUUGGAUUGGGAACUGUGGUUUUGGACACAUGUUUGCCUGCACCAACCAGUGAUAAGACAGUCUUGGAUUUCACAAGGAUCAGAUUUGUGCAGAGAAGAGUAGGUGGAGGCCUUAAUUUAUUGGAUCUGGUUGGCCACCAAGAGAGCAAGAGGGGCACAAGAGGUAUUAUACAAGGAAAGUGAGAGCAGGAUGGGUAGCGGAGAAUCCAAGCCUACCAUUCUUGGAUGCAUGACUAAAAACUUCAGAAAGGGCUUUGGAGGAGACUACGGCAUAAAGUUCACCCUAGACAAGCUUAACACCUUUUGUGAGAUAGACUGGCCAAGCUUUGGGGUAGGAUGGCCCUCAGAGGGAACCCUAAAAUUGGACAAAGUUCGGGCUGUGUACUCUGUGGUAACCAGGCAUCCAGGCCACCCAGGUCAGUUUCUGCACAUUGACUCAUGGCUACUAAUUGCACAAAACCCACCCCCUUGGGCCCAGGUAUGUUAUGUUAAAAAAAGAGAACGCAAGAUUUUGCUGGUGUAGGCAGAACCCACGCAAGAAAAGCUGGAAAAAAAUAUAUCAUGAUCCAGAGGAAGAGGAGCUCCCACUUCCUCCCCCCAUACUGGGGAACACGAUGGGGAGUCCCAGGGCAGGAGGAGGAAAUAAGAAAAGAGGGAGAUUUUCCUCCCUCACUUCCUCCGGUGAAGGAGGCUCCUUUCCCUCCUAUUGUGCCACCGAGUGUGAUGGGAGCGACUGCACCAGCAUUAUACUCCCCCUCCCCGGUUCAGAAGAAGGAAAAAAGUGAGAGCCCUUGUUCAGAGGCGGCUGAGGUCUACAAAGAAACCUCAAGAGAAAGUGGUUUUGCAGAUGCCUCUUAAGGAAGUCCAAGCAGCACCACAGGUGGGGUCAGGCUGGCACAUUCACCCUGGCUCCCCUUCUCUUUACUACCAGCUGUUCUCUGUAGACAAGGAAAGGGGGCUAUUAAUUGCACCUGACAAAAAGAUAAAAAAUAAAGAGGAAAUUCUGCUGCUAUUGGAAGCA